AGGAAUCUGCCUGGGUAGUGGGGGACAACGUUUCGAAAGGAACGCUAAUACCGCAUACGUCCUACGGGAGAAAGCAGGGGACCUUCGGGCCUUGCGCUAUCAGAUGAGCCUAGGUCGGAUUAGCUAGUUGGUGGGGUAAUGGCUCACCAAGGCGACGAUCCGUAACUGGUCUGAGAGGAUGAUCAGUCACACUGGAACUGAGACACGGUCCAGACUCCUACGGGAGGCAGCAGUGGGGAAUAUUGGACAAUGGGCGAAAGCCUGAUCCAGCCAUGCCGCGUGUGUGAAGAAGGUCUUCGGAUUGUAAAGCACUUUAAGUUGGGAGGAAGGGCAGUAAGCUAAUACCUUGCUGUUUUGACGUUACCGACAGAAUAAGCACCGGCUAACUCUGUGCCAGCAGCCGCGGUAAUACAGAGGGUGCAAGCGUUAAUCGGAAUUACUGGGCGUAAAGCGCGCGUAGGUGGUUUGUUAAGUUGGAUGUGAAAGCCCCGGGCUCAACCUGGGAACUGCAUCCAAAACUGGCAAGCUAGAGUACGGUAGAGGGUGGUGGAAUUUCCUGUGUAGCGGUGAAAUGCGUAGAUAUAGGAAGGAACACCAGUGGCGAAGGCGACCACCUGGACUGAUACUGACACUGAGGUGCGAAAGCGUGGGGAGCAAACAGGAUUAG
rnacentral:rRNA from 1 species